rnacentral:misc_RNA from 1 species
AAGUCGUAACAAGGUUUCCGUAGGUGAACCUGCGGAAGGAUCAUUAUAGAAAUGCCAAGUGGGAAAAAAGGUGGGGGAGCAAUGCCCCUCUUUAACCCAGCUUGUCUCAUCUUAUUCAUCCCCUUUGUGAACCUCUGCAUGAGUUGGUACAGGUCCUUGUUGGCCUGGAAGACUUGUGACUCUUACAUACCCUGUCAACAAGUCUUAGAAUGUACCUUGCGUUUAUUCGCAUCCAAUACAACUUUCAGCAACGGAUCUCUUGGCUCUC